rnacentral:rRNA from 1 species
GAUGAACGCUGGCGGCGUGCUUAACACAUGCAAGUCGAACGAGAAAUGGAGACGGAAACCUUCGGGCGGAAGGCUUCGUUUCGAGUGGCGGACGGGUGAGUAACGCGUGGGUAACCUGCCUCAUACAGGGGGAUAACAGUUGGAAACGACUGUUAAUACCGCAUAAGACCACAGCACCGCAUGGUGCGGGGGUAAAAACUCCGGUGGUAUGAGAUGGACCCGCGUUCGAUUAGCCAGUUGGCGGGGUAACGGCCCACCAAAGCGACGAUCGAUAGCCGAUCUGAGAGGAUGACCGGCCACAUUGGGACUGAGACACGGCCCAAACUCCUACGGGAGGCAGCAGUGGGGAAUAUUGCACAAUGGGGGAAACCCUGAUGCAGCGACGCCGCGUGAGUGAAGAAGUACUUCGGUAUGUAAAGCUCUAUCAGCAGGGAAGAAAAUGACGGUACCUGAGUAAGAAGCCCCGGCUAACUACGUG